UUUUUUUUUGUGAGACAUAAUCCGUGUGUAGCUUGUUGGCUUUGUUAGAUUCCUUCAUGCUGAGAUGACCCAAAGGACUGGAAAUGGAUUUGUGGCCCAUGAGUUUUUUUCGUCAGGGAGUUGGGCUGAAUUUGGCAUUUGGCGGAUUUGGGUAACGAAAAUCCAUCUCUGCACCCGAGCAUGUACCACAACAUCCUACUCUAACUAGUUUUCUUAUUAUAUUCUCAAAAAGAAAGAGAUGGAAACUCUGAGGAACAUGUACCACAACAUCCUGAGCAUCUGUUGCAUUUCAGUAUCUGAAACGAAAAAUGCCGGAACAAUUUAUGAAAUAUUUCAAAGUUCUCUGGUUUAGCUUCUUAGUCUGGCUGGUUGUUCCACGACGACACUGCAUACAUACUAAAUUUUGAGAAGCUACGAGGCAUCGCUUUCACGAAGGGAAGACAUAGAACAGUCAUCACUGUUCCAAUGUUACCGGAUUUUCGUACAGCAAGAGCAUGCUGCACUCCACUGAUCUGCCAAUUUGCCAUGAUCUGCACCAAAGAACCAGAUAACCAAACAUGGUAGAAUCAAGUCAUGACAGUAGUAUCCUCCAAGACACAGCAUCAGGUCAUAACAUCAUCACUACAUCAGCCCUAAACCCUCCACCAAACAAUAUCAUGGUCUCACUGACAAGCUAUCUUCAGUCUCCCACCAGAACGGAAUACCAUCAUCAUCAUCACAAAGGUUCUCUUCCUACCACCACUACUAAGAGAAAAUGUGCCAAGAAACAAGACACCCAAAACCAAGGGUCGGUGCAGGAGGGGUGCCUUGUGUCUCCUCUGGUCACGCCAUGAGGUACAGAGCGAGGAGCGAGCAGCAG
rnacentral:lncRNA from 1 species